AAUAGCGUAUAUUAAAGUGUUGCNGUUAAAAAGCUCGUAGUUGAAUUUCGGGAUUGGCGCAUCGGUCGUGCCUUACGGGGUAUGAACUGGUGCAGUCAAUUUCUCACCUUCUGGAGAACCGCGAUGUCCUUAAUUGGGUGCCGCGGGGAACCAGGACCUUUACUUUGAAAAAUUAGAGUGUUUAAAGCAGGCAUUUUUGCUUGAAUACAUUAGCAUGGAAUAAUAAAAUAGGACGGCAUGGUUACUAUUUUGUUGGUUUCUAGGACCACCGUAAUGAUUAAUAGGGAUAGUUGGGGGCAUUAGUAUUCAAUUGUCAGAGGUGAAAUUCUUGGAUUUAUUGAAAGACUAACUACUGCGAAAGCAUUUGCCAAGGAUGUUUUCAUUAAUCAAGAACGAAAGUUAGGGGACCGAAGACGAUCAGAUACCGUCGUAGUCUUAACCAUAAACUAUGCCGACUAGGGAUCGGAUGAUGUUAAUUUUUUAAUGACUCAUUCGGCGCCUUACG
rnacentral:rRNA from 1 species